UCCCGUUUAGCUCAGUGGUAGAGCGCAUCACUUGUACGAAGUUGUUUCAGAGCAGCUGACGCAUAUGAUGAGGUCAGUCGUUCAAUCCGGCUAACGGGAA